rnacentral:rRNA from 1 species
UACGUAGGGUGCAAGCGUUGUCCGGAAUUAUUGGGCGUAAAGAGCUCGUAGGCGGUUUGUCGCGUCUGCUGUGAAAACCUAGGGCUUAACCCUGGGCCUGCAGUGGGUACGGGCAGACUAGAGUGUGGCAGAGGGGGGUGGAAUUCCACGUGUAGCAGUGAAAUGCGUAGAUAUCGAGAGGAACACCAGUGGCGAAGGCGAGUCCCUGGACAACACCUGACACUGAGGCACGAAAGCCAGGGGAGCAAACGGG